GGGCCGUAGCUCAGUGGUAGAGCUUCUGUUUUACAUGCAGAAGUUCUCCGGUUCAAUCCCUGGGGUCUCCA